AGAGCAGAUGGCGGAUGCCUUGCCAAAGAGAGGCGAUGAAGGACGUACUAGACUGCGAUAAGCUAUGCGGAGCUGUCAAGGAGCUUUGAUGCGUAGAUGUCCGAAUGGGGCAACCCAACUAAUAGAGAUAUUAGUUACUCUAAUUUAGAGAGCGAACCUAGUGAAGUGAAACAUCUCAGUAACUAGAGGAAAAGAAAUCAACGAGAUUCCCUAAGUAGUGGCGAGCGAACGGGGAAAAGGGCAAACCGAGUGCUUGCAUUCGGGGUUGAGGACUGCAACAUCCAAGAGAACGCUUUAGCAGAGUUACCUGGAAAGGUAAGCCAUAGAAAGUGAUAGCCUUGUAUGCGACAAGGCGUUUUUAGGUAGCAGUAUCCAGAGUAGGCCAGGACACGAGGAAUCCAGGUUGAAGCCGGGGAGACCACUCUCCAACCUAAAUACUACUCUUUGAGCGAUAGCGAACAAGUACCGUGAGGGAAAGGUGAAAAGAACCGCAGUGAGCGGAGUGAAAUAGAACCUGAAACCAUCUGCUUACAAUCAUUCAGAGCCCUAUGAUUUAUCAGGGUGAUGGACUGCCUUUUGCAUAAUGAUCCUGCGAGUUGUGGUAUCUGGCAAGGUUAAGCGAAUGCGAAGCCGUAGCGAAAGCGAGUCUUAAUAGGGCGAACGAGUCAGAUGCUGCAGACCCGAAGCUAAGUGAUCUAUCCAUGGCCAAGUUGAAACGCGUGUAAUAGCGCGUGGAGGACUGAACUCGUACCCAUUGAAACGGGUUGGGAUGAGCUGUGGAUAGGGGUGAAAGGCCAAACAAACUUAGUGAUAGCUGGUUCUCUUCGAAAUAUAUUUAGGUAUAGCCUCAAGUGAUAAUAAAAGGGGGUAGAGCCUGAUUGGGCUAGGGCUGCUCGCCGCGGUACCAAACCCUAUCAAACUUCGAAUACCUUUUAUCGUAUCUUGGGAGUCAGGCGGUGGGUGAUAAAAUCAAUCGUCAAAAGGGGAACAACCCAGACUACCAAAUAAGGUCCCUAAGUUCUAUUCUGAGUGGAAAAAGAUGUGUGGCUACUCAAACAACCAGGAGGUUGGCUUAGAAGCAGCCAUCCUUUAAAGAAAGCGUAACAGCUCACUGGUCUAGUGGUCAUGCGCUGAAAAUAUAACGGGGCUAAGAUAGACACCGAAUUUGUAGAUUGUGUUAAACACAGUGGUAGAAGAGCGUUCAUACCAGCGUUGAAGGUAUACCGGUAAGGAGUGCUGGAGCGGUAUGAAGUGAGCAUGCAGGAAUGAGUAACGAUAAGAUAUAUGAGAAUUGUAUCCGCCGUAAAUCUAAGGUUUCCUACGCGAUGGUCGUCAUCGUAGGGUUAGUCGGGUCCUAAGCCGAGUCCGAAAGGGGUAGGUGAUGGCAAAUUGGUUAAUAUUCCAAUACCGACUAUGGAGCGUGAUGGGGGGACGCAUAGGGUUAAGCGAGCUAGCUGAUGGAAGUGCUAGUCUAAGGGCGUAGAUUGGAGGGAAGGCAAAUCCACCUCUGUAUUUGAAACCCAAACAGGCUCUUUGAGUCCUUUUAGGACAAAGGGAGAAUCGCUGAUACCGUCGUGCCAAGAAAAGCCUCUAAGCAUAUCCAUAGUCGUCCGUACCGCAAACCGACACAGGUAGAUGAGAUGAGUAUUCUAAGGCGCGUGAAAGAACUCUGGUUAAGGAACUCUGCAAACUAGCACCGUAAGUUCGCGAUAAGGUGUGCCACAGCGAUGUGGUCUCAGCAAAGAGUCCCUCCCGACUGUUUACCAAAAACACAGCACUUUGCCAACUCGUAAGAGGAAGUAUAAGGUGUGACGCCUGCCCGGUGCUCGAAGGUUAAGAGGAUGCGUCAGUCGCAAGAUGAAGCGUUGAAUUGAAGCCCGAGUAAACGGCGGCCGUAACUAUAACGGUCCUAAGGUAGCGAAAUUCCUUGUCGGUUAAAUACCGACCUGCAUGAAUGGCGUAACGAGAUGGGAGCUGUCUCAACCAGAGAUUCAGUGAAAUUGUAGUGGAGGUGAAAAUUCCUCCUACCCGCGGCAAGACGGAAAGACCCCGUGGACCUUUACUACAACUUAGCACUGCUAAUGGGAAUAUCAUGCGCAGGAUAGGUGGGAGGCUUUGAAGUAAGGGCUUUGGCUCUUAUGGAGCCAUCCUUGAGAUACCACCCUUGAUGUUUCUGUUAGCUAACUGGCCUGUGUUAUCCACAGGCAGGACAAUGCUUGGCGGGUAGUUUGACUGGGGCGGUCGCCUCCUAAAAAGUAACGGAGGCUUGCAAAGGUUGGCUCAUUGCGGUUGGAAAUCGCAAGUUGAGUGUAAUGGCACAAGCCAGCCUGACUGUAAGACAUACAAGUCAAGCAGAGACGAAAGUCGGUCAUAGUGAUCCGGUGGUUCUGUGUGGAAGGGCCAUCGCUCAAAGGAUAAAAGGUACCCCGGGGAUAACAGGCUGAUCUCCCCCAAGAGCUCACAUCGACGGGGAGGUUUGGCACCUCGAUGUCGGCUCAUCGCAUCCUGGGGCUGGAGCAGGUCCCAAGGGUAUGGCUGUUCGCCAUUUAAAGCGGUACGCGAGCUGGGUUCAGAACGUCGUGAGACAGUUCGGUCCCUAUCUGCCGUGGGCGCAGGAAAGUUGAGGAGAGCUGUCCCUAGUACGAGAGGACCGGGAUGGACGUGUCACUGGUGCACCAGUUGUUCUGCCAAGAGCAUCGCUGGGUAGCUACACACGGAUGUGAUAACUGCUGAAAGCAUCUAAGCAGGAAGCCAACUCCAAGAUAAACUUUCCCUGAAGCUCGCACAAAGACUAUGUGCUUGAUAGUAGAUGUGUAAGUGCAGUAAUGCGUUUAGCUGACUACUACUAAUAGAGCGUUUGGCUUGU
rnacentral:rRNA from 1 species